CUGGUUAAAUAAAAUAAAUAAAAAAAAUCGCUAGUCUCUUUGUUUAGAAAUUGUUUACAAAGCUUUAUGGGAUAUUAGAAAUCCUCCUAACCUGGGUAUCUUCAACCUAGCAUAUUAUUGCUUCGAUGUCACAACAUACAGCUUUGGGGGUGUUUCAGCAACAGUGCAAAGUUCUACAUUACAGUUCUACAGUACACUAUGACAUCACCCAAAGGCCUGUAGAAUGUUAAAUAUCAUAUCUAAAUAUGAUGGAACGGUGCUUUCACUUAAGCCUCUGAAUCACGUCAGCAUUCUCAUUGUAGCAACUUGUUUUUGAAUCCUCCAUGCAGGCUAAAAAGUACGGUUUAAUUUGAUAAAUUAUUAGAGUUUGUUAUUAUAAUACUUAUUGAUUGCAAUAUGAUUUGGCUGUAGUGAGAUUGUCCAUGCAUUGAUUUACAGGGCUUUAGGGAAUAUAAGGCUUUCCUCCAGCCAGUGAGCAAGGAUGAGAUUAUUGCUCCAAAGGCCCCUGAGAUCUAUCAGAAAGCAAAAGUCCUGGAUUCCAAAGAGAUCUGGAACAUUCUAAGGGACGAGUCGGAGUCCAAACUGGCUUGGACAGAGACAGCCAUUGACGUGCCCUCCGUGAUCAAGGUUUCCCUGAUACAACACACAGAACACAUCCUGUCACAAUGUCACACACCGUUACCAACCAUGACCUGUGUCAUCUUUAUAAGACAUUCAACCAAUGCAAACUCUGUUGUCUAGAAAAACAGUCAUAAACCAACAUGUAGAUUUCUAGAUACUUCCUUAGAUUAGAUUUGCACUCUUUCUU
rnacentral:lncRNA from 1 species